UACGGGGGGGGCAAGCGUUGUUCGGAAUUACUGGGCGUAAAGGGCUCGUAGGCGGCCAACUAAGUCGGAUGUGAAAUCCCCAGGCUUAACCUGGGAACUGCAUCCGAUACUGGUUGGCUUGAAUCCGGGAGAGGGAUGCGGAAUUCCAGGUGUAGCGGUGAAAUGCGUAGAUAUCUGGAGGAACACCGGUGGCGAAGGCGGCAUCCUGGACCGGCAUUGACGCUGAGGCGCGACAGCGUGGGGAGCAAACAGG
rnacentral:rRNA from 1 species